GCAGAGCACUCCUACGGGAGGCAGCAGUAGGGAAUUUUCCGCAAUGGACGAAAGUCUGACGGAGCAAUGCCGCGUGAGUGAUGAAGGUUUUCGAAUCGUAAAGCUCUGUUGUAAGGGAAGAAUAGCAAGAAUAGGAAAUGAUUCUUGUCUGACGGUACCUUACCAGAAAGCCACGGCUAACUACGUGCCAGCAGCCGCGGUAAUACGUAGGUGGCAAGCGUUAUCCGGAAUUAUUGGGCGUAAAGCGCAUGUAGGCGGCUUUUUAAGUCUGAUGUGAAAGCCAGUGGCUCAACCACUGAAUUGCAUUGGAUACUGGAGGGCUAGAAUCUUGGAGAGGUAAGUGGAAUUUCAUGUGUAGCGGUGGAAUGCGUAGAUAUAUGAAGGAACACCAAUGGCGAAGGCAGCUUACUGGACAAGUAUUGACGCUGAGAUGCGAAAGUGUGGGUAGCAAACAGGAUUAGAUACCCUGGUAG
rnacentral:rRNA from 1 species